CUGUACCCCUGCCCCAACAAGGAAGGACAAGAGGUGUGAGCCACACACACGCCUGGCCUCCUGUCUUUCCUUGUUGGAGCAGGGAUGUAG
ensembl:miRNA MIR5699 microRNA 5699